rnacentral:rRNA from 1 species
ACGGAGGGGGCUAGCGUUGUUCGGAAUUACUGGGCGUAAAGCGCACGUAGGCGGCUUUGCAAGUUAGAGGUGAAAGCCCGGGGCUCAACCCCGGAAUUGCCUUUAAAACUGCAUCGCUAGAAUUGUGGAGAGGUAAGUGGAAUUCCGAGUGUAGAGGUGAAAUUCGUAGAUAUCGGGAGGAACACCGGUGGCGAAGGCGGGUCUCUGGGCCGAUACUGACGCUGAGGAGCGAAAGCGUGGGGAGCGAACAGGA